rnacentral:snoRNA from 1 species
AGCCUGUGGUGUGGACAUAUUCUAAGUAAAUCCUUAAAUCUCUCCCAAGCUUCAUACAAGGACUCACUAUCAAAUUGUGUAAAUGAUGUUAUAUCAUUCCUCAUGUU